AUAUUGGUACAGUACAGAAAGCGAUUUGCUCGUCUUUUAAUCUCACAAGUUAUUAUGCAGUGUCAGUGAAAGGUUCACUCCAAGACACUGAAAUCUUUUAACAGGAAAGUACCAGUGAGAAGAACUAAUGGGUCUUCUAGCAAUUGUCAUCUUCAAGUUGAUCCUCCAACCUUUUGACCCUUUUCCAAGAGUUUCACUUUUGUCUCCCAGGAGACCUGGUAGAUGAAGGAUCUUCAGGUUUGUCCUCCUCUUCUUUGAUACAGCAAGGGUCUAAUCGCCAUGUAAAAGCAGCCACUGUGAUCCUCUCCAUUCUCCAUUUGUUCCUACUCCAUCAGAAAGGAACUAAUUCCAAACACUGGCAGAUUCAGUGUCAACUGGCAAACUCACUCUGCUGCAAUUCCAACAUCUUACCUCUGGUAGUAAAGGAGACAAGAGCCCAGCACUCUUUCAACAGUCUCAGUGUGAAAAGGAGAAUAGUUUAAUCAAAAUGACACUGUUGCCGCACUAGCAUUCUUUCUUAGCAUAGCUCUUUCUUCAUUGCCAGGCAGUAAGUUUUGACUUGGUGUGUGGCAAACAUCUGGAGUCCUGAGUGUAGAAGGAACUGGCUGAACUGAAGAAAAGGAAAAUGGCUGGGAUGGUCCUGCACAGCCAUGUAGGGCAGUGGCAGUGAUUUUUAAGGUCUUCACUGAAACUAAACUGAAGCCUAGCAAAAUCAUUUUCCUGACUUAAAAGGAAUGAUUAAUCUUGUUAAUCUGGGGAAGUUGGCCUCCAUUCCCUUAAUCGGGGAUACCUGUAUUUUUCAGUAGUAGAGUGUCUCAGGCAGCAAAUGCUGGUUGGUGUUGGAGGAUAGAGCUAUGUGUGCCACACAUGGGUUGCCUUGUGCCCCCUAAGCUAACCUGCUGCCCCCAAAUGCAGUGGAAGAUGUUGUCCUGUUGCUGAAAUAAGAUACAAGCACCAAUCCAGCUGGCUUCUGUGCAUUGAACUGCAGGGAGCUGCCAUCUUAUCCUACAUCACAAGCAGCAAAACAUCUUGGGGAAACCCUGUCCUUAGUCAAGGAAGAUGACACAAUGCUGGCCAUCCAAAAUAUGGCUUAAUUUUCAUCAAACUGCCAAAGAAGGUGAUAAGCGUCCUUGCUUGUUGUCUCGGUCAUGUUUUUAGCUGUCAUGAAAUGAGCCACACUCACUUCACAUAUUAUUUUAACCAACUGGAAAUAAACACUCAUGCAAUGCUUUAUACAUGGUGAAGUACAUGUUUUCCUCCCUGGAAAUGAAAUAUGGAACUACACAAUAUGGCACGGUCACCUGAAUCUUCUCUUCAUCUUCUGAAUACAAGUACUGUGAACUUUACCAAUGGAGCUUUCACUAACGAUGGGGGAAGGGAAGUUUGGGCCAUAAUAAGUUUUUGUAGUUGUGAGAAUGAUUGAUGUAUUGUUUAAUGAAGUGACCAGACAUGUAUCAUUAAAGGAUGGCUCCUAGACUUGUAGCAAUUGCUUCUGAAGGGUUUGGCAGAAGGAUAUUUUCACUUGUUUUUAUGUACACUUUUCGGUCAGCUUUCACAGGAUAUUUUGUGCUGGGCUACAGAGCAUUACAGAUUUGAGGGGACCCUGGCAAAGUAUGCUCUGGUGGCCCCUCUUACUAGGGUAGGCCCCCAGCUGCAGGCCCUCAACUGUGGGAAGCCAUUUUAAGUUCCUGCUGUAACAGAAGGGGGAUGAAGAUCAUCCCACUCCCUUCCUUCCAUAACUGCCAGUAUGGGUAGGCCAGUCGUGCCAGAGGCUAUCAAGGAGGCUGCCACUACACCCCUUAAACUCCCUCUAACCCUGGAAAGGAGUACUUUCUGUG